UACGAAGGGUGCAAGCGUUACUCGGAAUUACUGGGCGUAAAGCGUGCGUAGGUGGUUUUUUAAGUCCGUUGUGAAAGCCCUGGGCUCAACCUGGGAAUGGCAGUGGAUACUGGAAAGCUAGAGUGCGGUAGAGGGUAGUGGAAUUCCCGGUGUAGCAGUGAAAUGCGUAGAGAUCGGGAGGAACACCAGUGGCGAAGGCGGCUACCUGGACCAACACUGACACUGAGGCACGAAAGCGUGGGGAGCGAACAGG
rnacentral:rRNA from 1 species